rnacentral:rRNA from 1 species
AUUGAACGCUGGCGGCAGGCCUAACACAUGCAAGUCGAGCGGAUGAAGGGAGCUUGCUCCUGGAUUCAGCGGCGGACGGGUGAGUAAUGCCUAGGAAUCUGCCUGGUAUUGGGGGAUAACGUCCUCAAACGGGCGCUAAUACUGCAUGCGUCCUGCGGCAGCAAGUGGGGGAUCUUCGGACCGCACGCUAUCAGGUGAGCCUAGGUCGGUUUAGCUAGUUGGUGGGUUGAUGGCCUACCUAGCCGAGGAUUCGCGACUGGUCGGUGAGGGUGAUCACUCACAUGAGAAGGUAGACACGGACAAUGGUACUACGGGAGGCAGCAGUGGGGAACAUUGGACAGUGGUCGAAAGUCUGAUCCAGUCAUGCGGCGUGUGAGAAGAAGGUCUUCGGAGUGUAAAGACCGUUAUGGUGGGAGGAAGGGCAGUAAGUUAAUACCUUGCUUUUGUGACGGUACUGACAGAAUAAGCACCGGCUAACUACGUG